rnacentral:rRNA from 1 species
GACGAACCGUGCGAACGUUAUUCGGAAUCACUGGGCUUAAAGCGCGUGUAGGCGGAUGGGAACGUCGGAUACUGAAAGCCCCCGGCUCAACCGGGGAAGUGGUUCCGAAACGACCUGUCUGGAGGGACGUAGGGGGACCUGGAACUUCCGGUGGAGCGGUGAAAUGCGUUGAGAUCGGAAGGAACGCCCGUGGCGAAAGCGAGGUCCUGGACGUCUGCUGACGCUGAGACGCGAAAGCUAGGGGAGCAAACGGG